rfam:Aptenodytes forsteri contig70707, whole genome shotgun sequence.
AAAAAGGUUUUGAUCAAAACCACCCUAUUUCACUCAUGAUUUAUAU